UAAUACAGAGGCCACAAGCGUUAGUCGGAAUCACUGGGCUUAAAGGGUGCGUAGGCGGAUCGGUAAGUGUUCUGUGAAAGCCCUCGGCUCAACCGAGGAACAGCAGGGCAUACUGCCAAUCUAGAGGCAAGUAGGGGCGGGCAGAACAGUAGGUGGAGCGGUGAAAUGCGUAGAUAUCUACUGGAAUGCCGAUGGUGAAGACGGCCCGCUGGGCUUGUCCUGACGCUGAGGCACGAAAGCGUGGGGAGCAAACAGGAUUAGAUACCCUGGUAGUCCACGCCGUAAACGAUGCACACUAGACCGGUGCGGUUUUGACGCCGUAUCGGUCGUAGUAAAAACGUUAAGUGUGCCGCCUGGGGAGUACGGUCGCAAGGCUA
rnacentral:rRNA from 1 species